AUCAGUACACAUGCAUGAAAUAGAAUACAAUCCGACUUUAGCUCAGUUGGUAGAGCGGAGGACAGUAGAAGACGCAGAUUAUCCUUAGGUCACUGGUUCGAAUCCGGUAGGUCGGAAUUUGCUCCCACAUGAGAGCUUUUUAUUUUUCUUUUGUUGU
rnacentral:tRNA from 1 species